CAGGAACCUCGUUGCCAGUGUAUGGGAGAAGAGCACGAGGUGCUGUACCCGAUGAUGAGCCCAUGAUUCUGACCAGUACAUGUUCCGUUUCAUGCAGGCAGAUAAAGUCAGCAUUCAUCUCAUCCUGUCUCCUGAUUGUCAUUGAACACAACGCAGACACAAACUAUACGACGAAUGGAAACACAGAACUGGGUUAUGAUUAUUUGGACCGAGCUGAAUUAAUACACGGCCAAGUUCAGCACGGUUACACUGGUGCCGUGACCCGUUCUUCAGCUGCGUCGGCGCGGGCUGAGUCUACUUCCCGGAGCGCUCGCAUCGGAGUACCGGGGCUGCGUCUACUUCCUGGAGCCGCUCGCUUCGGAAGUGCCUCAGAUUCGGGACAGCUGUGUGGACUCUUUACCGCUUUGGCGGUGUGGCGGUAAUUUGUUUAGUAAAUGCAAAG